AGAGAGGUGUCCGAGUGGUCGAAGGAGCACGAUUGGAAAUCGUGUAUACGUUAAUCGCGUAUCGAGGGUUCGAAUCCCUUCCUCUCUG
rnacentral:tRNA from 1 species